UACAGAGGUCUCAAGCGUUGUUCGGAUUCAUUGGGCGUAAAGGGCGCGUAGGCUGCGGGGCAAGUCGGGUGUGAAAUCUCAGGGCUCAACCCUGAAACUGCACUCGAUACUGCUCUGCUUGAGGACUGGAGAGGAGACUGGAAUUCACGGUGUAGCAGUGAAAUGCGUAGAUAUCGUGAGGAAGACCAGUGGCGAAGGCGGGUCUCUGGACAGUUCCUGACGCUGAGGCGCGAAGGCCAGGGGAGCAAACGGGG
rnacentral:rRNA from 1 species